rnacentral:rRNA from 1 species
AUUGAACGCUGGCGGCGUGCUUAACACAUGCAAGUCGUGCGGUAACAGGCGUAGCAAUACGUGCUGACGAGCGGCGAACGGGUGCGUAAUACAUGGGAAUCUGCCUUUUAGUGGGGAAUAACCCGGCGAAAGCCGGGCUAAUGCCGCAUAAGAUCUUCGGAUGAAAGCGGGGGAGUCGUAAGACCUCGCGCUGAUAGAUGAGCCCACUGCCGGAUUAG